AUGAACAUCAUAAGUUGGAACUGUCGGGGGCUUAGGAACCCCGAGGCAGUUCGAGAGCUUCGCAGCGUGGUGAAGCAAGAAGGGCCCACCCUUCUCUUUGUUAUGGAGACAAAGAUAAGGGCAGCGAGGGUGGAAAACCUAAAGUUAAAUUUGGGUUUCGAUGGAUGCUUCGCAGUUGACAGUGUGGGUCUAAGCGGAGGCAUUGGUUUGUUUUGGUCAAAGGAUGUUUCAGUUCAACUAAAUAACUAUAGUACCGGCCACAUUGACACUGUGCUGCGGAAGAGGGAUCAAAGCUCUUUCGAGUGGAGAUUCACGGGUUUCUAUGGUGCGUCAAGGUCAAAGGACCAUCAUCACAGUUGGCGCUUCCUCCGAACUCUGAACACGUUACCCCAUGAUGCAUGGGUGUGCAUGGGAGACUUCAACGAGACCUUAUACGGAGAAGAACACUUUAGCCGCUCAGCACGCCCUGAGUGGCAGAUGAGAGCGUUCCGUGAGGUAGUCGAAGAGUGCGCUUUCCAGGAUCUAGGAUGGUCAGGUGUCCCGUUCACUUGGGACAACCGACAGGCGGGAGAAGCAAAUGUCAAAGCCAGAAUUGAUCGGGCCUUCGCAAAUGAGGCGUUUAGGCAGCAGUUUAGCUUCACCAAUGUUCGCCACAUCAGUGCAGCCGAAUCAGACCAUUGUUUUGUCCAUAUGGUGUUUCGGGAGCAGCAAGGGGACGCAAUGCAAAGGGGUACAUGA
rnacentral:rRNA from 1 species